GAGGGGAGAAGCGGAGAGAAAGGUAUGGUGUGAGACUGUGAGGGAGCGGCAAAAGGAGAGAUCGGAUCCGAGAUGAGUAUUCAUAACCCAACUGUAUCGAUCUGUGGGAAUGAAUCUCUAACAAGAUCGGGAUCUCAUGCCUAUUCACGCUGCCGCUUUCAUCAACAUUGUGGGAAGGAAGACAGCAACAUAAUCUAGUGCCCACUUACCUUAUACCCAAUCUCGCCCUUCCCUUGCUUUCAUUGUAGCAGUGCUCCUCGACCUCUUUGAUAGGCCCACUCUGUAUUUCAAGGCCACCUCAUAGCUACCGAGGUGGCUGUUGCUAGCUUUAGCAUUUGUCUUGGCAUUCGGAAUUGAGUUAAUCUUCCAUACUUAUCAUCUCUCCUAUUUGUGCUGCCCUCGUCCCCACUACCAUGGUGUUUUAUGCCUCCGUCUCACGGGGCUUCUAUUCUAACAGGUAGGCGACAAUGGCACAUGAGAAGGCCCCUCUAUUUUUAUCCCCUAACCAUCAUGGCUAUAUUUCACAGUCUGUUUGGACUAUCAUAUGCAAACUGCCGAGUGAAAGCAGAGGUGUAGGUGACAUAUGCAUAGAAGGGGCUGUGGUCAUGUAUCCAGGAACAAUAGUGAUGCCAAGAAAGCCAGUAAGAGGGAGCAGUACGGAGGAGAGCAGCAGAAUAAGAAUGGAAAGUGAACUCAAGUCGAAAUGGCAAGACAAAUAGUAGUAGGGUAGCAGCAGCCACCUUGGUGGUUAUGGGGUGGGCUUGAAAUGCAGAGCUUGGCUUAUUCUGGAACUGUGACUCGAUGAGGUCGAGAAGCAUGGGAAGAAUAAGGGUAAAGAAGGUUGAGAAUGGCACGUAAUGCAGUAGAAGUAUGAUUAUGUUGUUGUAAUGUUGGUGGGGGAAUUAUGUCGCUGUAAUGUUGUUGAAGGUUAACUCCCAGAGUAUUCAGAGUAACAGAGUGAAUAGCCUGGUAGUGUUCUGGAUACUAAUUUGAGUUUAUGACCAAAAUAGUGUUUUUGAAGAAAAA